CCUAGAGAAACCAGAGCCAACACCAGCCAUUGUGGGACACCUGGAGAGCAGUGAGCGAUGUCACUUCGUAUCCCAGAUGAUGCCAGCCUUCUGGAGAUUGCUGGCUGCGAGGCAUGCCAAUCCCAUGCUGGCUCCUGUAUGCCUGCCCGCUGAAGAAGAUUGGAGACAGUGUGUCCAGUGUGGCUGAGUAUUUGAUGACCAAGCGUACGCCAUUCGUCAAGAAACUAGUUUGAAAGUUGCUACUCUUCAUCUGUGGAACAAAAGAGAAGUACCGAGAGUUGCAGGACCUGCACUCCAUUGAGCUGAACCUGCGGAGUGUUACCAGCCAGUGCCAGAAGAGUUGGCUGUCAGCUGGAGAUGUGGCCCCCACAGCGUUCUUCUCCCGUAUGACUCUGCUGGUCCUGGGCUCAGUAAAGAGUCUUAUCCUGCAUCUAAUGGAGGACCACAGCCAGGUUAGCAACACAUGUGGAGAACAUGCCUGCCCAUGUCCAGCGCCUUCCUGCUGCAACCAUGUGAAAGACGUCUGACCUCGAACAUAUCCCAUAAAAUUAACUGGGGUCCGAUAAUAUUUUCGAAAUUGUCGGACCUCGUGUCGGACAAAAGAACAAUGUGUAAAAGUUUGGUAAAAAAUAAACACAACAAUAGGUUUAUGUAAAAAAAAAUACAGACUGUUUUCCAUUUAUUUUACUUUGAUAGAUUUUUAUGCCACCCUUGAAGAAGAGGGGGUAUAUUAUUUUGCACAUGUCGGUCCGUUGGUCGGUCCGUCCACCAUAUGGUUUCCGGAUGAUAACUCAAGAACGCUUUGACCUAGGAUCAUGAAACUUCAUAGGUCCUUUGAUCAUGACUGACAGAUGACCCCUAUUGAUGUUCAGGUCACUAGGUCAAAGGUCACAGUGAGUCAACAUAGUAAAAUGGCUUUCGGAUGAUAUAUCAAGAAUGCUUAGGCCUAGGAUCAUGAAACUUCAUAGGUAUAUUGGUCAUGACUGGCAGAUGACCCCUAUUGAUUUUCAGUUUAUUAAGUCAAAGGUCAAAGUCACAGUGACUCGAAACAGUAAAAUGGUUUCCUGAUGAUAACUCAAGAAUGCUUACGCCUACCAUCAUGAAACUUCAUAGGUACAUUGACUGGCAGAUGACCCCUAUUAAUUUUCAGGUCACUAGGUCAAAGGUCAAGGUCACAGUGACUCGAAACAGUAAAAUGGUUUCCUGAUGAUAACUCAAGAAUAAAUAGGCCUAGGAUCAUGAAACUUCAUAGGUACAUUGAUUAUGACUGGCAGAUUACCCCUAUUGAUUUUCAGGUCACUAGGUCAAAGGUCAAUGUGACAGUGACAAAAAAUCUAUUCACACAAAUGCUGCCACUACAACUGACAGCCUAUAUGGGGGGCAUGCAUUUUUACAAACAGUCCUUGUUCAAGUUUAAAAUUAAACGGAAUCAAACAGCUUUUUUUUCUGGUGAUGUAACAAACUCCAAGCGUGAUUCUUAAAAUCACUGCUCCCGCUUAGAAAAUUCAAAGUGAGUUAAAUCAAGAUUUAACAGGAGUAUUAAUCGCAAAUUAACGCGCACAGUUAAUUCCGGUAAUCUUGUGCGUCCGGUAAUCUUGCACACUCCGCGGUUGCGAUGACGAAUGGUUUGCUUUAGUGAUGAAAGAUGGCAUUUCACAUUUUUAAGAAUUAACGGAUUUAUAGGUACAUAUGCAAAAUAAAAUUUGAUCAUUAUAUUUUAACACCGGUUGCGUCACCCCUAUACGUUGUACAUGUUUUGUUAACACUGACCUACUAACGAUAAAUUCGAAAUGAAUUACAAAUUCCCUGCAGUCUUUAGCGUUUUUAUUAAAUUAAGUUAAGAAUUCAUAAAUCUGACGUGUAAUUUAGCAUUCCAUUGCACAAUCAGUUAUGGUAUUUUUGGCCAUUGAAAAUUGCAUCAGACAACAUUGUCAUCAUUUCCCGCCAUUCUGUCAACACAUUUGAUAUCAUCUUCGCACGCGCAAUCGCCCAGUUUUAAUAUUUUCUGUAUUAAAACUAUCGAAGCAUGAUUAGGGGUUAAAUUAAACCUGUUAUGCAAAAACAUUUUUUUCACGCUAGAAAUCAAUCAUUAAAUUUUUUUAUUGUUUCUUUUGCUACAGUCAACAGAAUGCCACCACCAUCAUCAUCAAAACAGCACUAGAAAUCCACAUUAAAUUUUAAUGGUUUUACAAACUGAUUAUUAAACUAAUUUUCUGGAUUGAUUUUUGUCCCUAAUUGGACACCAUAUGUCUAAAAUUUUGCCUAAAUGAUGUCAUUACACCAAGUGCGCAAGAUUACACUGUGAUAGUUUGAAAAUGAGGUGAGUUUGUUUGUUUUGAAAUCCAAUCGGACAGUUCUUCACUGAUUUAAUCAGAUAUUUUUGUGUUAAUAAGCACAUGAACUUCUUAUUUUCAUAAUAAAUUUAGAUAAUAUGUUCUCAAUUAAUAUAAGAACAUGUUUUAAACCAAUUGACCCUUAACUGCGCAAGAUUACUGGACAGGUACAUCGUAUCACUUUAUUUCUGAUACGGCUGGAGAUUGAACAGAAUUUAAAAAUUACUAGUAAACAAAAGUAACAAAGGGUAAACAACAGCGAAAAAUACCUGUUUCGGACCAGACGUCGCCAUCUUGAUCAUCACUUUGAAUGUACUAGUGUUUUAUAUUGCUGUUUACUAUUACUUUUAAUGUAAAAAAAACAACCAAAACAGGUCUGUUCGAAGAACGUUCAUAUAAAUAUUUCAGACCAGUAAGGAUGAUUCUAGCCAGUUGACAUAUGUUUUCAUCUAUUUUCAUUUAACACCCAGUUAUUGAUUUGCGUUUGAUGCAGCUUAGAAUUGCCAAGAAAAAGGCUUUAGUUAUUUUUGAUCUUAUUGAUUUAACAUUUGAUCUUUCAUCAACACCAACCAUAAGUAACAUCGUGGCCUGAAAAUCUUUUUUGAAGAUAAUUUUGUUACCAUGUUUUCAUGAAACGGUUGUUUUUAUUUUUAUUGUAUUUAAAAGUGUUAAAUAUUGUGGAUGUCAUAAUAAUAAAAAUAAACUCUA